AUUGCCCUACUGUGUUCGCGUUGUGACAGAUGUGUUUUGGGCCAACACCUACUUACAGGGUUCCUAAAUUGCGGAAGUUACGCGAUAGGCCUGAGCCAAGGCGGAGCUUGCGUUGCGGAAACCCACUCUGCGAAAGCAGGUUCAAGACUAAGUCACACACGGCAUGGUGGGGCUUUC
rnacentral:other from 1 species